rnacentral:rRNA from 1 species
GACAGAGGGUGCAAACGUUGUUCGGAAUUACUGGGCGUAAAGCGCGUGUAGGCGGCCCUGCAAGUCGGAUGUGAAAUCCCACGGCUCAACCGUGGAAGUGCAUUCGAAACUGCAGGGCUAGAGUCCUGGAGAGGAAGGUGGAAUGCUUGGUGUAGAGGUGAAAUUCGUAGAUAUUGGGAAGAACACCUGAGGCGAAGGCGGGUUGCUGGGCUGACACUGACGCUGAGGCGCGAAAGCCAGGGGAGCAAACGGG